rnacentral:rRNA from 1 species
UACGUAGGCAGCAAGCGUUGUUCGGAGUUACUGGGCGUAAAGAGUGCGUAGGUGGUGCCCUAAGUCUGUUGUGAAAUCUCCCGGCUUAACUGGGAGGGUGCGGUGGAAACUGGGGUGCUUGAGUGUGGGAGAGGUAAGCGGAAUUCCUGGUGUAGCGGUGAAAUGCGUAGAUAUCAGGAGGAACACCGGUGGUGUAGACGGCUUACUGGACCACGUCUGACACUGAGGCACGAAAGCGUGGGUAGCAAACAGG